rnacentral:rRNA from 1 species
GACGAACGCUGGCGGCGUGCUUAACACAUGCAAGUCGAACGGAAAGGCCCUGCUUGCAGGGUACACGAGUGGCGAACGGGUGAGUAACACGUGGGUGAUCUGCCCUGCACUUCGGGAUAAGCCUGGGAAACUGGGUCUAAUACCGGAUAGGAGCCAUUUUUAGUGUGAUGGUUGGAAAGUUUUUUUCGGUGUAGGAUGAGCUCGCGGCCUAUCAGCUUGUUGGUGGGGUAAUGGCCUACCAAGGCGGCGACGGGUAGCCGGCCUGAGAGGGUGGACGGCCACAUUGGGACUGAGAUACGGCCCAGACUCCUACGGGAGGCAGCAGUGGGGAAUAUUGCACAAUGGGCGCAAGCCUGAUGCAGCGACGCCGCGUGGGGGAUGACGGCCUUCGGGUUGUAAACUCCUUUCGCUAGGGACGAAGCUUUUUGUGACGGUACCUAGAUAAGAAGCACCGGCUAACUACGUG